rnacentral:rRNA from 1 species
AAAAAUUAAGAGUGUAACUACCUAACUUUGUGACAUACCUGUUGCUUCGGCGGUCCUCACCGGCCGCCGAAGGCCUAUAUUCUUGAAUUUACAUGAAUUUCUGAGUAUCAAACAAAAAAUAAAUAAAAACCUUUCAGCAACGGAAAUCUCUUGGCUCUGGCAUCGAUGAAGAACGCAGCGAAAUGCGAUAAGUAAUGUGAAUUGCAGAAUUCAGUGAAUCAUCGAAUCUUUGAACGCACAUUGCGCCCACCAGUACUCUGGUGGGCAUGCCUGUCCGAGCGUCAUUUCAACCCUCAGGGCCCGUUCGCGGGACCUGGUGUUGGGGAUCGGCCCCACCGGCCGGCCCCGAAAUACAGUGGCGGCACACCCGCGACCUCCUCUGCGUAGUAGCAAUGCCUCGCAGCUGGAUAGCGGUUGCGCCUCGCCGUAAAACCCCCCACUUCUCAAAGGUUGACCUCGGAUCAGGUAGGAAUACCCGCUGAACUUAAGCAUAUCAAUAAGCCGGGAGGAAAACCGGGGGG